UGGGGAAUAUUGCGCAAUGGGGGGAACCCUGACGCAGCCAUGCCGCGUGAAUGAAGAAGGCCUUCGGGUUGUAAAGUUCUUUCGGUAUUGAGGAAGGUUGAUGUGUUAAUAGCACAUCAAAUUGACGUUAAAUACAGAAGAAGCACCGGCUAACUCCGUGCCAGCAGCCGCGGUAAUACGGAGGGUGCGAGCGUUAAUCGGAAUAACUGGGCGUAAAGGGCGCGCAGGCGGUUAUUUAAGUGAGGUGUGAAAGCCCUGGGCUUAACCUAGGAAUUGCAUUUCAGACUGGGUAACUAGAGUACUUUAGGGAGGGGUAGAAUUCCACGUGUAGCGGUGAAAUGCGUAGAGAUGUGGAGGAAUACCGAAGGCGAAGGCAGCCCCUUGGGAAUGUACUGACGCUCAUGUGCGAAAGCGUGGGGAGCAAACAGGAUUAGAUACCCUGGUAGUCCACGCUGUAAACGCUGUCGAUUUGGGGGUUGGGGUUUAACUCUGGCGCCCGUAGCUAACGUGAUAAAUCGACCGCCUGGGGAGUACGGCCGCAAGGUUA
rnacentral:rRNA from 1 species